rnacentral:rRNA from 1 species
GACGAACGCUGGCGGCGUGCCUAAUACAUGCAAGUAGAACGCUGAAGGAGGAGCUUGCUCUUCUGGAUGAGUUGCGAACGGGUGAGUAACGCGUAGGUAACCUGCCUGGUAGCGGGGGAUAACUAUUGGAAACGAUAGCUAAUACCGCAUAACAGUAGAUGUUGCAUGACAUUUGCUUAAAAGGUGCAAUUGCACCACUACCAGAUGGACCUGCGUUGUAUUAGCUAGUUGGUGGGGUAACGGCUCACCAAGGCGACGAUACAUAGCCGACCUGAGAGGGUGAGCGGCCACACUGGGACUGAGAAACGGCCCAGACUCCUACGGGAGGCAGCAGUAGGGAAUCUUCGGAAAUGGACGGAAGUCUGACCGAGCAACGCCGCGUGAGUGAAGAAGGUUGUCGGAUCGUAAAGCUCUGUUGUAAGAGAAGAACGAGUGUGAGAGUGGAAAGUUCACACUGUGACGGUAUCUUAACAGAAAGGGACGGCUAACUACGUG